rnacentral:SRP_RNA from 1 species
UGUUGGUUCUCCCGCAACGCUACUCUGUUUACCAGGUCAGGUCCGGAAGGAAGCAGCCAAGGCAGAUGACGCGUGUGCCGGGAUGUAGCUGGCGGGG